rnacentral:tRNA from 1 species
GGAUAAGUCGCCUAUUGGAAGGGGUAAACUGAUUGCUAUUCAGUAUACGGCAAAACCGUAUUGUAGGUUCGAAUCCUAUCUUGUCUG